rnacentral:rRNA from 1 species
GCCCCCACUUAAAACCCAAAGGACUUGACGGUGUCCCACCCACCUAGAGGAGCCUGUUCUAUAAUCGACACCCCCCGAUACACCUCACCACCCCUAGCACCACUCAGUCUGUAUACCGCCGUCGUAAGCUUACCAUGUAAACGCCAGUGAGCUAAAAGAUUCUUCACACCAACACGUCAGGUCAAGGUGCAACUAACGGAGUGGCAAGCAAUGCGCUACAAUUUCUACCAUAGAACACACAAAAACUGCAUGAAACACAGCUACCAAGGCGGAUUUAGAAGUAAAAAGAAAACAGAGAGUUCUUUUUAACUUGGCCCUGAGACGCGUACACACCGCCCGUCACCCUCCUCACACCCACAACAACAAGAGGAGGCAAGUCGUAACAUGGUAAGUGUACCGGAAGGUGCACUUGGACAAUCAUAAUGUAGCUUAACUAAAGUAUCCCGCUUACACCGAGAUGAUGUCAACACCUACUGACCAUUUUGAGCCAAAACCCUAGCCCCCCCCC